UUAAUGCAUCACUGCUCCUCACAGUUUAAGUACCUCGGUUACAGAAGGUCCAAAGUGUGUUUAUGCUCUGACACUGAGACCUGCAUCAGGAUGAUGUCUCCAGUACCUCUCAUUGUUCUGUUGGGUUUUCUCACUCAGGCAUCAUCUGCCAACAAUUUUCUGACCCAGUCUGAAAGAUCAAAGUCAGUUAAUGUUGGAGGAACUGUGACCAUCAGCGCCACAGGAAGUUCUAAUAUUGGUGCUGAUCUCAGUUGGUACCUUCAGAAACCUGGACAGCCUCCCAAACUUCUUAUAUACGGAGCUUCAACUUUGUUCUCAGGAACUCCAUCUAGAUUCAGAGGCAGUAGAUCUGGUUCUGAUUACAGUUUAACCAUCAGUGGUCUUCAGACUGAAGAUGCUGGAGAUUAUUACUGUAUGGGUAACCAUGGCGGCGGUGUGUUCACACAGUGAUUUACAGUCGUACAA